GCUGGGCGUGGUGGCUCACGCCUGUAAUCCCAGCACUUCGGGAGGCUGAGGUGGGUGGAUCAUCUGAGGUCAGGAGUUAGAGAGACCAGCCUGGCCAACAUGGUGAAACCCCAUCUCUA
rnacentral:sRNA from 1 species